CCCUUAGAUGUCCUGGGCCGCACGCGUGCUACACUGACGCCUACAGCGAGCACUUUCCAGCCCCGAGAGGCGGCUGGUAAUCAACAAUAGGCGUCGUGAUGGGGAUAGAUCUUUGGAAUUAUGGAUCUUGAACGAGGAAUGCCUAGUAAGCGCAGGUCAUUAGCCUGCGCUGAUUAAGUCCCUGCCCUUUGUACACACCGCCCGUCGCUCCUACCGAUUUCGAGUGGUCCGGCGAAUCUUUCGGACUGCGCGCGGCCUUGAGUCGUGUCGCGGAAAGUCAGGUAAACCUUAUCACUUAGAGGAAGGAGAAGUCGUAACA
rnacentral:rRNA from 1 species